GACAGAGGGGGCAAGCGUUGCUCGGAAUCACUGGGCGUAAAGGGCGCGUAGGCGGGAUGGCAAGUCGGUCGUGAAAUCUCUCGGCUCAACCGAGAAACGUCGGCCGAUACUGCCGUUCUUGAGGGAUGCAGAGGAGACUGGAAUUCCCGGUGUAGCGGUGAAAUGUGUAGAGAUCGGGAGGAACACCGGUGGCGAAAGCGGCGCGCUGGACCUUAACUGACGCUGAGGCGCGAAAGCCAGGGGAGCGAACGGG
rnacentral:rRNA from 1 species